UAACAAACAGAUUGCAGAAACAAUUGAUUGUGCUUCUGAUUAAAGACAAUGAGACAAUAUCACUGAGAAAAGAGAGUCAGAUUCAAGAAGGUGGAUUACUACAUCUGGAACCCAUUUAUACUCUUCUUCCUAAAUAAGUCCUCAAAAAGUCAUCUGUGUUUUUCUAAGAAAAUUCAAGAGACAUGUGGAAAUGUGUACAUAAAUACUGUUCCAGUGCACUGGAUACACAUUCAUAAAGCAUCACAGAGAAAAGAUGAUUCAACGGUCCUGGAAAACAGAAAAAGUUACAGUUAAGAAGAGAUUUUUCUGGUGAUCACAGAAGAUUAGGUGUGAAAAAAAUGUUGGGUGUAAUGGGAUGUGUGGCAAAGUUCAGUGAAUUGGCAACAACUGGUGAGAAUAUGAUAGUGCUGAAGAAGGCAUGUGACCUGAACACAAGGUUUAUUAGAUCUCCAAAUAAACAAAUCUGCAUUCUGCUUCCAAAUGUCUCCAGGUGCAAAACAGCCAAUUGUAAAGUAUUUCUAUUUUCCUAGAUAGAUUACAUAUUGUCUGCUGAUACUUUUUAAACUUUUUUUUCUUUAGAUUUCCAUGGUGGUUGUUUCCUUAUUAUAUUUUUUCUUUCUUUAAAAAAUUUGUUUGAUUCUACACUUCUGCUCCACUCACAAUCUUUUGCACAAGCUUAUCAGCUCUUCCUUCUGUUACUUUUUCUGCUGCAUAUUUUACAGCUCUCUGUUCCUCUUUCUUUCAUACUUUUAACAUAUAAAAAUAAUCUAAAUUAAGUCUAUCAGUCCUGCAUGGAGAACAGGAAAAAUCAGAAAUCCUCAUUGAUCUAGUUAAAUAUCAUCUGCAGAUGGUCCUGUUCUUAACAGGAUGUGCUUUAUUGAAUUUAGAAUGGAAAAAAGCAAAACCAAAAACUCGGCUCUAUGAGCUGUUGUGAAAAGAAGUAGAAAAUAAAAAGAAGAUAUGAGACACACAUGGAUAAAAGGCAGGACUAUCCACAGCCUUAUUUGCUUUCUUCUUCUUUACUUUGAAUUUGAAGAGCUUAAAAAUUGCUCUCUAGAUGUAUAUAUUGUGACUACAUUAUUCAGUGGUUUCAUUGCAUUGAUUUAUAUUAUAAAUGUGCUUUGUAAAAAGAUUUAAGAAAAGAAUAUACUAUUAGACUUUAAUUUGAACAGAACACUUGAGGAAUCAUUAGGAAAUGAGGUAAAGAUAAGAGAAAGGAGAAGAGAAUUACUUGGCACUGGGCUGGGCAAGUAAAAGAUGCAAUUUCAUUGAUUGGCCUACAGGGUACUAUGAACAGAAAAACAAAUUUAGCUAAAACUCCCCCUGUGUACCCAUAUAUACCAUUUAAUCUCUUAGUGAUAUUGAACUGCAUUAUACUAUCUGUCUUACAUCUUCUAUUUAAUUUUAGUGAGAAUAUGAAGCACAUGGUGUCUCAUAAUAGUGAGAAUGACUGAUAGAGCUCUGAAACUAAUUGUAUCCUAGAUAUGAGGUACCUGAAGGUAGGAUUUGGAGAAGUGGUAAGACUCUGAAAUGAACCUUACACUGUGUCUUUUAGAUUGUUCUUUCAUGGCCCUAAAUCUUGUUAAUAUAACAGGAAAUAUCCCAUUGUUUGGUGGAAGAUGUUAAAUCCUCUACUGUUGUGUUUAGUCCUUAAUUUUCACUCAACAUGAAUCCUAAAGCAACUGUGCUGUCUCUGGCACACGUAGUGGUGCAUAGUUUAAGCCUCAGCAUGAGAUUCACAAACGCGAGUCAGUCUAGAUGCAGACACCUUCAAGGCACUGCAGACUGGAUCCGACUCUCUUUUAGGACCGUGAGUAUCUGGUAGAGUGGCCCUUUUGUUCAGCAGCCUCACGCAGGGGUUUCCUCAGACACUUACAGCAAGGGCACCUGCAGCAUUUCUAGACUUUUUAGCCUAGAUAGGAUAAGAUCUCUUUCCAGCAUCACCUGUGCUUUUGCUGGGUUAAACGCAAAAGGAAUUAGAGUCUUCCCUGGAAGACAGGGUCUGGGUCACUGAAAUAGUGCCUGUAAGAUUUAACACUAAACUUUAUUUGCUGUCAUCAAAACCGGGGCAUAAGUCACAACCAGGCCUUUCCAGAGUAGAUCCAUAUGGGUUAGCAGGGUAUUGCAUAAAUGGAAGGGCACAUCCCUCCCUGACACCAUGGUUUCAGCCCUCGACAGGGCAAAAACAAACCUCACCAAAAGUCUGAAGUAACUUCAGCAGGUAUUGGCAACUAAGCUAAAGGAAGGACACCCUGGCAGUCCACAUGUGUGUGUUAGGAGAGGGAUGGUGGGAGUACUUUCCUUUGUCCCCAUCCCCAGACUUCAAUUAUCUAUGUAAAGAAACAGGAUUACACACUCCAGACAUGGUCUCCCCAAGGUGAGAGAGUGGGAACAGGUUCUGUGCCAUUACACGCAGCCAGGAAAGAGCAGAUCACCAUCUUACGCAACCAAGCAAACCCAGCUCCUGAGCACUCCAGCAGGCCUCUUAUACCCCACGACCAAGCUAGCCCCAAGAACCAAGGUUUCCUAGCUCAGACCCUGAGCUACCUACCCACUGCUGGAUCCACGCUGAACCUGCAGUGGGACCAGGCAGGGCUGCCUGUACCAGGCUAUGGGAGGUGGCAGACAGCAGCAGUUUUGGUUCCUGACUCUGCUCAGGUCAGGAGAAGCUGAGUCUCCUUCCUACAGCAGCAUCAUCUGGCAUUUAGCUGGGCCUCGUCUUCAUCAGCAGAGCGAUCCUAAUGAGAGCUUGCGGGUUUGGCAGCUCACUGGUUAAGGUGCUCUGCCUUGGGCACUGCCUGGAGCUGGAGGGUGUAGGUUCGGUUUCCCCUUUACUCUGUAACAGUUCAAACCAGCAUCUUCCAUUUAACAGGAGAGUGAAAAAGAAAUAAUGCAAAUAAAUAAGUCAAUUACUUGUGCCACUUGAAGUCAGCUCUCAAGGAGAAGAUGGAGCUAUUUCAUUAGCUGGCUCUUGCCACAUGGAAGAUGGUUUAAUUUUAAAGUACGGCUAGGGAGAGCUUGUUUGUCCGGAGCACAGUGAUAUCUGUGACACCCCACACAAACAGAUUAUUAAUACAUUAACAGUCCUGAUAUUGUGUGCUGAUUUGUGGCUUUUUCUCUUUAGUUGCGCACAUUUUGCAAACUGACUACCUGAAAAGAAUAAACCAAAAUAAAAUCCUACUAAGAACUAUUAGUUAAACACCAUGCUAUGUUCUAACAAACAUAAUUUUUGAUCAUCGUCCUAUGUAAUAGAAUCCCAGAGAUGGAGGAAAAAUGAAAGACGGUACAAGAAUUUAAAUAUGUUUGUUUAAUAAAGUCAUUAAAGCAAACUUUAAUACUCUCAAGACAAAAAACCCUUUUGACUCUUUCACAUAAACCAAAGAUAUUUGUAGUCCCUUCUAAUUCAGUUAAAGGCUAAUCUCUUUUAAAUCCUCAUUCUUGUCCAUUCUUUACUGAGGCAGUGAAAUCUGAUUAUUAACAAAGGUGAUGGAGUGCUUUGGCAAUCAGCUGCUGCAGCUCUGUAUCAAGUAUAAGAGGAACUGAUUGGAAAGAUCGGAAAGGGUCUGAAGAAUACACAGAGAAACUCUUGCUAGCAUGAACACCUGAUAAUAUUCAAAGUGUUUCUGUAAAAGACAGAUGGCUAAAGGAAAAACUCCACCGUAGCUAUGUAACAACAAAGAGGAGGUCUAAUAAAAAAAUGUCUGAAGUCAUCCAUAUGGGUGGAGAAAAUUAACUACAUUCAAAUGAAAUAUUGGGAGCAAGCAGUUUUCUAACAAACAACUUGGAGUUAACACAGCCAGAGUCAGAUGAGCUCUCCCGAGGAGAGAGGGGAAUGAGUCCCCUUGGUGAGGUGGGGCAAAAUGGAAAAGUUCAAGCAGAGUUUAUGGCAACUCUUGGUCGCAACGGUCCAGGCUGUGUUUGAGAAGUGCGCAGCUCAGCAUGGGAAAAAGAGAUGCAAGGGCUGCCCUACACUGCUUUGAUCUUCAGCUGACCAAGUGACCCCAUCCUGUCCUUCAGCAUAUGGAGCUCUCCAGGAUCAGAUCCCGCAGGCAUCAUACUGGCCUCUGGGUAAACCGAAAGCAGACGGCGGCGUUACCUAAUUGCUACACGGACACUUCCUGACUCACUCUCUGGGCUUGCUUCCCCCUCUGCUACAGUGGUCCUUUUCCCCCCUUGGCUCCAAGGAGAUGACAGUGGGGGCAAGGAAAAGAAGGACACGUUAGACACCCGAUGGCAGUAUCAACACUGCAGAACGAGUGGAGGGGAGAGCAAAAGCUGUAUGCUGUUCCGCCCUCGGCCAGCCACAGCGAAAACAAGCAGCUCAGAUGAAGUUACAUCAAAUUGACAGAGAAGAAAGGUUUGUCUGAAAGGUUUGAAGCUACAGCAAUUUUAAUAAAUUCUACAACUGCAAGAGAAACAGCAAGAAAAAGCCUCCUUGUCAACAUAAAAACUUGGACCCAGUCUUGUAAAUGCUCACCAUGGAUUUGAUUUUUUUUUUAGCAGUUUGCACAGGCAGUUUUGGAUCUUUAUCUGCACUCAAAGAUGGAAAUCCUUGCAAAAGUAGAGCAGCUAGAAUUAAACCUCUACAUUCACGUGUUCUCAAUUUUUAUUAGUUAUGUUUACUCCUGGUAUAAUUUAGCUUAAGUAUGUUGUUCUUCAGUUCAUCCUGAUCCAGUAAUUCCUCAAGGACUUUCUUAGUUUUGGUGUCAGACCAAAGUGCUCACAAUACAGAAGUUUUGUUGGCAUGAAUAAUAAAAAAUGUAUUCAAUCUGUUGAAAACCUAAAAAAAAAUCCAUUUGUUUUCUCUAAAAAGAGUGUCCCUACUAUAGGGUAAAACAGAGCUUUCAGGUACUAUGACAGUUCUCUAAGAUGCCUGGGUUUUAUACCCCUUCUAUGGUAAAAGAUAUAAUUUAACUCAAGAAGGAAAAAAAAAUUACAGAGAAUUCUCCCAGUCAGGUAGA